rnacentral:rRNA from 1 species
AUUGAACGCUGGCGGCAUGCUUUACACAUGCAAGUCGAACGGUAACAGGCCGCACGGUGCUGACGAGUGGCGAACGGGUGAGUAAUGCAUCGGAACGUGCCCAGUCGUGGGGGAUAACGCAGCGAAAGCUGUGCUAAUACCGCAUACGAUCUAUGGAUGAAAGCGGGGGACCGUAAGGCCUCGCGCGAUUGGAGCGGCCGAUGUCAGAUUAGGUAGUUGGUGGGGUAAAGGCUCACCAAGCCAACGAUCUGUAGCUGGUCGGAGAGGACGACCGGCCCGACUGGGACUGAGACAGCGCCCAGACUCCUACGGGAGGCAGCAGUGGGGAAUUUUGAGCAAUGGGCGCAAGCCUGAUCCAGCAAUGCCGCGUGCAGGAAGAAGGCCUUCGGGUUGUAAACUGCUUUUGUACGGAGCGAAAAGGUCUCCUCUAAUACAGGGGGCUCAUGACGGUACCGUAAGAAUAAGCACCGGCUAACUACGUGCCAGCCGCCGCCGUAA